rnacentral:lncRNA from 1 species
UGAUGAAAUGUUACUCCAGAGCAGUAGAAGAUUGUUUUGCUUCAGUAAAAUUGCUGUAUAACUUGGUAAGUUGACAAUUGCAUAAUCUACUAUGCACAAACAUCGUAAAAUCAUAAAUAACUUGAUUCCCAUUUACUGCCACUACCAUCUUUAGCAUUCUUCUGGUCUGAUGGAAAUACUAAAAGGUCCACUCUAUACCUUAGUUACACAAAAAGGGAGUGUGAUAUAUAUAUAUGUGUGUGUGUGUGUGUGUGUGUGCGCGCGCGCUAAAGUGGAAUUCGUAUGGAACCUGCAAUUUUAAACAAUAGAAUUCACUAAUUUGAGG